rnacentral:tRNA from 1 species
UUUUUUAUAGCUGAGUUAAAGCAUAAGAUUUUUAAUCUUAAGGCGGGUUACCCUUUGCGUU